UGGCAGUGACCACACCUGCGCUUCUGUUAAUCUGUGAAGCACAAGAGAAAACAGUGGUUGAAUUUCUUCAAAUGAACUA
rfam:Triticum aestivum genome assembly, contig: Triticum_aestivum_CS42_TGACv1_scaffold_308541_4AS